GUCUUAUCUAGAGAGGUGGAGGGACUGGCCCGAAGAAACCCGGCAACCUUUAAGUGGAAGCUUAAAAGGUGCUAAUUCCAUCAGGAGCAAUCCUGAAAGAUAAGAA
rnacentral:ncRNA from 2 species